CCUACGGGCGGCAGCAGUGAGGAAUAUUGGUCAAUGGGCGCAAGUCUGAACCAGCCAAGCCGCGUGCAGGAAGACGGCGCUAUGCGUUGUAAACUGCUUUUGUCCGGGGAUAAACGGCGCCACGUGUGGCUUUGUGAGUGUACCCGAAGAAUAAGGAUCGGCUAACUCCGUGCCAGCAGCCGCGGUAAUACGGAGGAUGCGAGCGUUAUCCGGAUUUAUUGGGUUUAAAGGGUGCGUAGGCGGUCCGGAAAGUUAGCGGGAAAAGCCCGGGGCUCAACCCGGGCAAGCCGUUGAAACUGUCGGGCUAGAGAGGGCGGGAGGUAGGCGGAAUGCGUGGUGUAGCGGUGAAAUGCAUAGAUAUCGCGCAGAACUCCGAUUGCGAAGGCAGCGUACCGGGGCGGGACUGACGCUGAGGCACGAAAGUGUGGGUAUCGAACAGGAUUAGAUACCCCAGUAGUC
rnacentral:rRNA from 1 species